rnacentral:lncRNA from 1 species
CAGUGCCCACUUUGUUCACCUCUGCUCACUGGGGGAGCCAGGACCCGGAUCCAGGUUUUCUGACUCCAGGUCUCAGGCUUGCUCCAUAGCGCCACCUGCUGGUGACGGCAAUCGGUAGGCACCCAAAUCAAGUCUCAGAUUUCCUCAUCUCAGAAGUUGUCAGCUUCUCCGACCUCCACGGUAACUCGGAACCACACUGUGGAGUUAUCCCUGUGUCCUCUUUCUCGGAAGUUCCACAUCCAACCCCUCAGCAGGUCUCAGCGGCACUCUCACCACCUCCUCUGCUCUGUUCCUGUUUCUCUUGGAUGGCCGAAUGUUUCCUAAGGGGUGCCUGCUGCUUCACGCUUGCCCCCUGGAGUGGCAUCUAAAAGGUGCAGGAUACCCUACAACUAACAGACAUGAUGCCAUCAAGACAUCUUGAGCUUGGCUACCUCUCGUGGCCUGUAUUUUGUCCACAGGAAACUCGCGCAGUCUUACUACAGCAAAUUGAGGUGGUAUGGGGUGCCUGCUGCUGUCUCUCUCCUCACCUUUCCACAGAGGGCUGCCCCAGCCUGACCCCCACUUCCAGAGUUUCUCCAGCCAGGAGAAUCCUGAAAUCUCUGUAAAUAAGCAAUCCAGGAGCCAGAGAAUCAUGGGAUCUCAUACAAACAAAUCAUCCAGGAAAAACACAACCAGAGUCUCCUUUCGGUAAACCUCCAUGACUGGGGAUCCCCUGCCACCCAGAAAGCAGUUUUGCCUGCCAUGCUUGUCAUCACUGAUUUUUACUGCUGCAGCAGACUCCGUCAGACCCGCCUGCUUCUUCAGCGAAUUGUUCAGUGCACACCACCAGCUACCUGCUGUAAGCAUUUGCACUCUUCUUUCUGCCUGGCAGCGUUUCUCAGCUGAACACAGGCCAGGCCAGAAGUGCCAGGGAUUUAAUGCCCUUGGAAGCAGCUCUCUACCAACGACAAAUGGAGCUGGUGGAUAAAUUCUCAGCUUUCUCCCCUCUCAGGUGGAACAGCCCUGAGAUGUGCUCUCUGCAGUCUCCCACAAGUCCCCAGCAGACUCAAGCUCCCAUUGUCCAACCCUGGUAACCUGCUCAUCGACACCCGUGUCUUGCCUUCCCUUCCUGGCCUCACUUUCUCUCUCUCUUACUGUUGCCUCCUGAGAUCGCAUCCAAAAUAAAUGACCUGCACCCA